GGAAGGGGCAAGCGUUGUUCGGAAUCAUUGGGCGUAAAGGGCGCGUAGGCGGUCUUGUGUGUCUGCUGUGAAAGCAUACGGCUCAACCGUAGAGGGUCGGUAGAAACUGCAAGACUCGAGGCUGGGAGGGGCUGGUGGAAUUCCCUGUGUAGCGGUGAAAUGCGUAGAUAUAGGGGAGAACACUCGUGGCGAAGGCGGCCAGCUAGACCAGUCCUGACGCUGAGGCGCGACAGCGUGGGGAGCAAACAGGAUUAGAUACCCUGGUAGUCCACGCCGUAAACUAUGGGCACUAGGUGUUGGCGGUAUUAACUCCGUCAGUGCCGGAGCUAACGCAGUAAGUGCCCCGCCUGGGGAGUACGGUCGCAAGGCUGAA
rnacentral:rRNA from 1 species